rnacentral:misc_RNA from 1 species
AGGAUCCUCACUGGAACUCAAAUAUGAUCCUAGGAAGAAAUAUAAUCCCUCAUAGGACUUAAAUUGCUCAAAAAGCUUUAUGCAAGCAUCAACACCCAACUGCUCACAGUACUCUUUUGCAACCUGAACAAUUAUUUGAAGGUUUCCUUUGAUAUUGAUAACAAGGAGGUCCUUCAUGCACUCAAGUGCCCAUUCACGUGAAAGGGUCCCAAAAAACUCAACCAACGCCUGAGGCUCAAUUGCAUGUGUAUUAACAAUGACGCGCUUGAUAUCAGGCAGUUCGGAAUAGUGCUGAAGAGCCCGCACGUAAAGACCAGCUUUCUCACAAAGUUGAGCAAUCCGAGGUCGAUCAUAAUGACUGAACAUU